CACGUAGGAGGCGAACGUUAUCCGGAUUUACUGGGCGUAAAGCGCGUGUAGGUGGUUCUGUAAGUAGGGCGUGAAAGCUCCUGGCUCAACUGGGAGAGGCCGUUCUAAACUGCAGGACUAGAGGAUGGUAGAGGGAGGUGGAAUUCCAGGUGUAGCGGUGGAAUGCGCAGAUAUCUGGAGGAACACCAGUGGCGAAGGCGGCCUCCUGGACCAUUCCUGACACUCAGACGCGAAAGCUAGGGUAGCAAACGGGAUUAGAGACCCCGGUAGUCCUAGCCCUAAACGAUGUAGACUAGGCGUCGGUGGUUUAAUCACCAUCGGUGUCCAAGCUAACGCGAUAAGUCUACCGCCUGGGGACUACGGCCGCAAGGUUAAA
rnacentral:rRNA from 1 species